rnacentral:rRNA from 1 species
GAUGAACGCUGGCGGCGUGCCUAAUACAUGCAAGUCGAGCGAACAGACGAGGAGCUUGCUCCUCUGACGUUAGCGGCGGACGGGUGAGUAACACGUGGAUAACCUACCUAUAAGACUGGGAUAACUUCGGGAAACCGGAGCUAAUACCGGAUAAUAUAUUGAACCGCAUGGUUCAAUAGUGAAAGACGGUUUUGCUGUCACUUAUAGAUGGAUCCGCGCCGCAUUAGCUAGUUGGUAAGGUAACGGCUUACCAAGGCGACGAUGCGUAGCCGACCUGAGAGGGUGAUCGGCCACACUGGAACUGAGACACGGUCCAGACUCCUACGGGAGGCAGCAGUAGGGAAUCUUCCGCAAUGGGCGAAAGCCUGACGUAGCAACGCCGCGUGAGUGAUGAAGGUCUUCGGAUCGUAAAACUCUGUUAUUAGGGAAGAACAAAUGUGUAAGUAACUAUGCACGUCUUGACGGUACCUAAUCAGAAAGCCACGGCUAACUACGU